ACGAACGCUGGCGGCAGGCCUAACACAUGCAAGUCGAACGCCCCGCAAGGGGAGUGGCAGACGGGUGAGUAACGCGUGGGAACGUGCCCUUCGGUUCGGAAUAACUCAGGGAAACUUGAGCUAAUACCGGAUACGUCCGUAAGGAGAAAGAUUUAUCGCCGAAGGAUCGGCCCGCGUUGGAUUAGCUAGUUGGCGGGGUAAAAGCCCACCAAGGCAACGAUCCAUAGCUGGUCUGAGAGGAUGAUCAGCCACACUGGGACUGAGACACGGCCCAGACUCCUACGGGAGGCAGCAGUGGGGAAUAUUGGACAAUGGGCGAAAGCCUGAUCCAGCCAUGCCGCGUGAGUGAUGAAGGCCCUAGGGUUGUAAAGCUCUUUCGCCAGGGACGAUAAUGACGGUACCUGGAUAAGAAGCCCCGGCUAACUUCGU
rnacentral:rRNA from 1 species